rnacentral:rRNA from 1 species
CCCUUCAGAGGGGGACAACAGUUGGAAACGACUGCUAAUACCGCAUACGACCUGACCUCGGCAUCGAGGAUGGAUGAAAGGUGGCCUCUAUUUAUAAGCUAUCACUGAAGGAGGGGAUUGCGUCUGAUUAGCUAGUUGGAGGGGUAACGGCCCACCAAGGCGAUGAUCAGUAGCCGGUCUGAGAGGAUGAACGGCCACAUUGGGACUGAGACACGGCCCAG